rnacentral:rRNA from 1 species
AGUAACGGCGAGUGAAGCGGCAAGAGCUCAAAUUUGAAAUCUGGCCCCUCCGGGGUCCGAGUUGUAAUUUGCAGAGGAUGCUUCGGGUGCGGCCCCUGUCUAAGUGCCCUGGAACGGGCCGUCAGAGAGGGUGAGAAUCCCGUCUUGGGCAGGGUGCCCGUGCCCGUGUGAAGCUCCUUCGACGAGUCGAGUUGUUUGGGAAUGCAGCUCAAAAUGGGUGGUAAAUUUCAUCUAAAGCUAAAUACCGGCCGGAGACCGAUAGCGCACAAGUAGAGUGAUCGAAAGAUGAAAAGCACUUUGAAAAGAGAGUUAAACAGCACGUGAAAUUGUUGAAAGGGAAGCGCUUGCAACCAGACUCGGCCUCGGGGUUCAGCCAGCAUUCGUGCUGGUGUACUUCCCCGGGGCCGGGCCAGCGUCGGUUUGGGCGGCCGGUCAAAGGCCCCAGGAAUGUAUCGUCCUCCGGGACGUCUUAUAGCCUGGGGUGCAAUGCGGCCAGCCUGGACCGAGGAACGCGCUUCGGCACGGACGCUGGCGUAAUGGUCGCAAACG